GGGGAUUUGGCUCAGCGGUAGAGCGCUCCCUUAGCAUUCCAAUGCUUGGGAGAGGCGGCGUGUUCGACUCAUGCAAUCUCCA
rnacentral:tRNA from 2 species